UGUCUGGCUUUACAAUUUCUAACAUAAUAUCUAUUUUGCUAACUAGUUAGUAAAUGGGCUUGUUUUGCACACUAGAUGUGAGUUUGCGCGUGUGCGCAAAACCCUAUUUACUAACGUGUUAGCAACAAGAUUUCAUCUACUGUUAGUUGAAAUAUUCAUAAUUUUCAAGCAAAAC